UACGAAGGGGGCUAGCGUUGCUCGGAAUCACUGGGCGUAAAGCGCACGUAGGCGGGUCGUUAAGUCGGGGGUGAAAUCCUGGAGCUCAACUCCAGAACUGCCUUCGAUACUGGCGACCUUGAGUCCGGGAGAGGUGAGUGGAACUCCGAGUGUAGAGGUGAAAUUCGUAGAUAUUCGGAAGAACACCAGUGGCGAAGGCGGUCAGCUGGUCCGUUACUGACACUAAAGCACGAAAGCGUGGGUAGCAAACAGG
rnacentral:rRNA from 1 species